rnacentral:rRNA from 1 species
AUUGAACGCUGGCGGCAGGCCUAACACAUGCAAGUCGAACGAGUGGCGGACGGGUGAGUAAUGUCUGGGACACUGCCCGAUGGAGGGGGAUAACUACUGGAAACGGUAGCUAAUACCGCAUACCAUCGGAUGUGCCCAGAUGGGAUUAGCUAGUAGGUGGGAUAACGGCUCACAUAGGCGACGAUCCCUAGCUGGUCUGAGAGGAUGACCAGCCACACUGGAACUGAGACACGGUCCAGACUCCUACGGGAGGCAGCAGUGGGGAAUAUUGCACAAUGGGCGCAAGCCUUAUGCAGCCAUGCCGCGUGUAUGAAGAAGGCCUUCGGAUUGUAAAGCACUUUCAGUUGGGAGGCGUUACUCACAGAAGAAGCACCGGCUAACUCCGUGCCAGCAGCCGCGGUAAUAC